GUGAUCCAACUAAAAGUGUUGGCUUGGUUUUAACCUAGAUCAGGUCCGUCAUCUACCUCAUUAUGAAUGUAGAAAUGCCUGUGCUUGCACAGUGGAGGAGACAGAGCAGGGGCUGAGUUUGAGUAACAGGGAGCAAAAAAGAAGGCUUCUUCCGGCAGUAUUGGCUUAUGGUAGCAUAAGUUGAUCACUAGUUUAAGGCACUGAGGUCUGAGGAGUGUUGAUAGCAUUGUCAUUCUAACCCUUACAGUAGAGAGCAGAAACAAAGUCUGUUUCUGGAUUUUCCUACAUUUUAGGUUGCGUGUCAGGGUUUGUCCUUAGUACUUACCUUAUUUGUUGUUUGUUCACAUUGUGUGCAUCUAUUACAAUUGAUUUUUGAUGGAGUUUAUUCUUUACUACCUGAAAACACUGACAUCCUAGGAUGUCAGUAAUUACAAAAGGAAGCAUCAUGGUUGCAGAGCACUGCCACCUAUUUUCUGUGGUAUCUUCAAACGCUGUGUGUACUCUGCAAGGUAUUAUUCAGUUUCCUGUUCUAAAGCAAGCACCCCCUUUCUCUGCUCCUCCAGUUGCUAAGCAGCAGCUCUUCUCCCCAUUAGCCAGCCACAUAUUUACAUGAAAAUAAUCAAGCUUGCAUAUAUAACUGCUUCUAAUCAUGCAGUUAAACAACUGUACAGUAAAAAAUGAGUAUUGGUAAUAUUAGUUAUCAUCAAAACUCAUUAUUUUCUUUAAAGUUACAAUGUCCACGUAGAAUAAAAUCAGUACAGCUAUGCUUUUCUUAACAAAAGACAUUUCAGUCUCUUCUUUCUCUUACCUCAUACUGUAUGCCUACUAAGAAAAACUGUUCAAAAAUGUUAUUUGCACUUCCCCAAAAAUGUAUAACUGCAGUUGUGAGCAGACAGAACUAACUAGGUCAGGGAAAAGCCAUCAUUUGCAAAUGUCUGAUUAUAAUAGCAAAAUCCAAAAGAACUGGAUGAUAGAAGAUUUGACUAUAGUACAAAAGGUAACAUUUUGUACAAUAUAUCCUAACUUCAUAAUUGACUUGUGUAACAAUGUUUGAGUUCCUGUUGAUUUUCAGGACAUUUGGUAUUUCUAAGGUCUGUUUUUAUUGGCAUGGUGAUCAUAGGCAAGCACAUAGGAAAAUCUUUAUAUGAGAGUCCUGACGAAUCUUUCUUACGCUCAGUAGUCAGAGCUACUCUUACUAUAAUUUGAGGCAGCAUUGUGCAUGCCCACUGUACUACAUACAUGGCUGUCAGCAGAUAAAAAUGUAAGCAAAAAACGAAAAGCAAGAAGCUGAGCAACUCCCAGGCUACCAGACUGGCUUAAAGAGCCACCCGGGUUGCAGAAUUCAUUUGUAGAGUUAACUGUGCUUUGGAAAUAGUGCUUAAGAUUCUAAUUCAUGAGAACUCUUAACAAAAAAAAAAAUAAUAAUAAUUCUUAGUGAAUAGAUACAGGCUAGGCAAUUGGCUCUGAUGUGUAAUACAGUUGGGUUCUGUCAGAACCAGAGCGAUAACACAUUUAAUUAAUGAUCUUACACCAACGUUUUGCCACUAGAAAACGGAUGAGAAAACUGGCCUUGUCUCAAGUGUGAAAAUACUUGGAAAGCAUUAAAACAGUCUUUUAGUGAUGAUUCUUAGUAAACCUGUCAGAGCAAGAAUGGUGCCACAUGAUUGGAAGAUAAAUACAUUUGAAAGGGAACCCAAAAAAGCGUUAUGGGCAACUGUUGCAGUACGUGGGGCCUAGGAAAAAAAAAAUGGGAUAAAAAAAGAACAUGAAAGAAAAAUCUUUUCUGUAUUAAAGGUAUAUUUGUGGGAGGGAUUGGUUUGGGUUUUGUUCAUUUAUUUUUCCUUUUAAUACAAUUUAUUUUAUCAACAAAGGAAAUGAAUUAGGGUUAAUUUGUGCUCCAAGAAAAAGAUUCAGUUUAGCGCCAUAUGAGAAAUUAAGUUGGGUGCAUAAAGAAUUUCUAAUGGGAAAAGAGGGCUAUAAAACUAGAAGCUGUCUAUAAGCAGACUCUGCCAUUUAACAUGUGUAGGAGCGUUUUGUUUAGUGCAUAAAUAAGAAUUGCUGAUAACCUUAAUUUUGGAAAACAGAUACACAUAGGAAGAGUUGUCUGGCUUGCAUUUAAAUAGAAGCGUUAUAAUAUCUUGUCUUGCAUAUCAAGUGCAGGGUUUUGAACUUGAAAAUAGCUAAGAAUUUUCUGUUCUGAUCUAGAAACUCCUUAACCAGAAAUGGCAGAAGAAAAGUUCUAGGAGUCAGGCCUAAAAUGCAUGAGGUCCGUCUUACCUUGGCCUAACAUCAGAAGAACCUACCAGUGAAUGUGCAUACAGGAGAACACAUAAGUACUCAAGGGAACGAUAUCAUCUGAAAUGUAAAAAUGAAUAAAGAUUUUCACAAUGUGAAAUGUGUUUUUAUGAAUGAAUCACAGAAAUGGGGCUGGAUGGUAAGUGGUGAAAUCACCUGUUCUACGUUCUACCAUGUAGUCUGACUUGCAAGCGGCAUUCCCCAUUCAUGCAUUGAAGUGAAAGAAGCUUCUGUCUGGUAUGUUGAUCACAAACAGCCAUCUGUUAUCCAGGAAGAGAUAGGAGAGUCGCCAGCAGAGUAAACUUGAAGUGCUUUAAGAUUAAAUUAAAGAUGGCAGAGGCCUAUUAAAUGCUUUCUCCGUCCCUGUCAGUAUUGGUUUAUGUAAUAUAUGAACGCAUACUUUAUGCUGCUGUUCCAGAUACCAACUAUUCCCCCUCCCCCCAUUAAGUCAACUACCUGUAGUUUAGAACACAGUUUAAGAUUUCCUGUAUUGUGUGUCUUCCUUUUAUCACCUUUUUUUUUUCCCCCCUUCUUGGUUUCUUCCUUUCGAAGAGUUUUCCAGAAAAAAAUGACUGUUAUGAAAAAUAUGAUUUUGAACUUCUCAUUUGCUUACCUUAAGCUACACUUGCUUAUGUUUGCAGGAUUUCCUUUUGAGUCUUUCCAGCCCCCAAAGGAUUUCUGUUAUUUUUAUGUGAAUUCCAUCCAAUUUGCGGAGAUCUUUUUGGUAAUAUGCCUGGGACUCAUUGGUGAAUUCCAGGUGUGGUUACAAAGAGCAUGGAUAAAGAAUUUAUGAUUUAUGUCUAGAUAGAGCCAUUUACGUUGUUUCAGGUACCCGUAUGACCUCUGUGUGUAGGACAGAAUGAAUUGCCAGAUGAUAUUAACAUUUGGUACACUAAGAGGCUCGAAUGGCUUAGCUGAUUGUUCACAGGGAAAACGUUCUACAGUCUGCCCUAAAGCUACAUGGAGAGAAACUGUUAUCUUCCUGCUCUAGGAUACAGUAUUUCCAAGUAUGCAAGUCAAACCUAACUUAGUCUUUUUGUUCGUAUUCUGUUACAAAUUUAUUCGUAGUUUCUGCUUACUUGUUAUUAUUAGAUUCUUUACAAAUAUGCCCUAGGGUUAUUUCCAUCCCAUUGAAUACGUUCCAGAAUAUUUCCCCUCAGUAUUUCCUACAGCAGUAGCUUGCUUUUUUCUCCUGUACUUAUCUUCAUCUUGGUGUUUUCUGACUGAAUUUUAGCCCCUAUAAUUACUUUGCUGUACCUCCAUAUCCUUGCAGUUGUCCACAUCGUGGCCUCUGAAAGAUUAAUGAAGAUGUCAAAGAACAGGGCCUCAUAACAGUUCCUUUGGCACUGUACACACACACAAAUACAUUGUUGCAUGUCCUUUUUCACAUAAGGCUUUUAUUUGCUAUCAGUUUUCAGAUUUAUCUUGAGCCCUACAGUAUUCACUGUUUUCCUUAAGCUUCAGAGUUUUUAUACAGUCCUUAUUUGUCUAAUCAUCUCUCACUCAGCAUUGUAAUCCAUCCAGUGCAUUCUGAGUGACUUGGGGGUUUCGCAAGAGUAGCAGAUGCUUUCCUGAAAUUGGGAUACGUAACACCUAAAGACUUCCUUCAGACCUUGUAUUCUGUUUUGGCUAUUGGGAAGAGUGUUGUUUUUCUUGUGAACUAGAUACUGCCUAGGAGUCUGUUGGUCUUUAUGGCUAACAUUUUCAGACAUGGGUUUUUUCAGUGUUUUCAGGAGUUUACUUCCUCUAGCGAGGAUCUUAAUGGGCAUAAGUAAUCAGGAGAGAGAUAAAUGAAUGCUGUAGAUACAUUUAAAUGCAUCCUCUUAAAAUGCAGAAAGCUACAGAAUGCCAUAGAACUAUUUGCUAGAGAUUUAAUAUUUAGUCAGCAAUUAUUAGCGUUUUAUUUUGAUGUGACAUUCAUCAGUUAACACAGUUGCACUUCCUAACUCUUUCUAAAAAUCAAAGCUCAUUUCCAUUUGAAGAUGCAAAUACUAGCUACUAAUUAAUAAUACUGUAAGUAUUUUUAGACACUGGUAGGCAGAUGGCACACCUGGGAAAAAGGCAAUGCAAACAGAGUGGUGUAGAGGUGUAACAGAAUGAAAAGCAUAGCAACAACAGCAAAGUAGCAUGGUCCUAGGCUGCAGCAAGGGACCUAAGCUGCACAAAUGCAACAGCCAUAGGCACAGAAAUAGAGGAAAGAAGCUGCUUAUCUUCAGAAGAUCUCAGGGAUGCAGAGCUCUCCAGCAAGAUACCCUCGCCUUCAGUGCCAACCCUUAAAUGAGGUCUGCAAGGAGGUGGAUCCUGGCUUCACCUGUUCCAGUCAGUCAGGUGCAUUGCAUACACCUGAGCUCCCCUGGGUUGGCCCUGCCUUCCACCAGGUGCUCACUGUUUCAUGCCAUGCUUUUUCUGCUACAAAAGGUAAUCCCAGAAAGAUAUUACUGGAACUGAAGUUCAUCCAGAAUAUGGUCUUCCUAAAUAUGUAUUCCCUAUAUAAAUGCUACUGUGUGUGCUUGAUGUAUAAAAAUAUAAUUAUUAAUGUGGACCACCAAUUACAGUAACAUCUAAUAAAGGCUGACACUUUAAGUACAAGCCUUAUCUGCACACAGAUCUACCUCAACGAUUUUGGAGACUUGCAAAUAAAAUUAAUUUUCUUGCCAGUAUAUUGAUCAUUGUAUAUCUUAAAGCAUAAGAUAGAUACAGUUGGAGAUACAAAGUUAGGUAGAACACAAAUUUAUAAAGUGUUACCUGUUAUUCUGAUGCGAUAUGUUAGUGGCAAUUAGGAAGGAGAAACACCCUAAUUCUGUUUCCAGUUCCUAGGGGGAAAAUCUUGUGUGGUGGUUAUGAACUUCUAGUCAGGUACAGAAAUCAGGUACUUUUACUCUGGAAGCUGUGCAAUUAAAUGACUGAGACUUGAUUCUGCUGUAAUGUGGUGUCUCCUGAGUAGUCUUGCAGCUGCUUUAGUUACAAAUUCAGUGAUAGCUGUUUUCCUUCAGAAGUGGUAACUUGAUGGCUUGGCUAAUAAUAUCAAACAACACUAGCUCCCAAGUCCAUAAAAUAUAAACACAGUACCUUCUUCAGUCUCCCUACCCACAGUACCUUCAUCUUCCUUUUCGUAUGCUACUUUAAAAGAUAGUUUGUGGAGAUAGUAUUUUGAGUAGCUGUUUUUCUCAGGACAGAAUAUAGGCUUUUGACUUAUUUGGAUUUUUUAUUCUAAUACUUAAGUGAUGUGUUCUCACUAGGAGCGUGCUUUUUGCAAAAGAAAGUGAUCGUAGAUUGAAACUAUUAACUCGGGGAAAAUAGGAAAUGGUUAUACUGUAAAAAUAACUGUGAAAACGUAUCAGAUUGUUCAGAGAGGGAACAGCCUUCCAAGAAGUGAUCGCAUUCUCAUGCUCUGCUUUAAACACAUUCUUUAUCUUUAAAAGGAAGCAGAAGAGAAUCAGUCAGUAAAUCAAAUGUAAUUGAGGUCUAGUCUGCAAAACUAUCAUUCUGAAGUAAGGCAUUAGGUGUGGGUAUUUGAGACAAGAACUGCCAGUGCCCAGACCUCUUGUGCUCUGAGGAAAGUGCACACAUCUUCGGUUAGAUAAUAUCUUUCUUGCAGCUCUUGGUGGUUUUUCUUCAUUGUCUGAAGAUAGCAGUUAUGGUUACUAUCUAUUAAAAAACAGACUGUACUUUUCUACUGCAAUGAAUAAGGGUGUUGUGUUGUUUGUUUGGUAUUUUUUUAAAUCUGUUUGUUUAGAGAAGGAAAUUGGAUUUCUUACCCCAAAACCUCCACCUUCACUCACUUGUUGGCAAAAUAAAACCCAAACAACUGUUGAAAGACUGCAUGUUCUUGCUGCAACUUUGUAAACCAGUUUUGUGAUGAAGAUUUCACUGCCUCUAACCUGGGUUUGUCUCCAUUGCUCCAGCACUAGAUCACUAGUCAGUUCCCUAAUUUCUUCUUCACCUAGCAGGUACAAAAUUGCUUUUUGCUUGCAGUAAUGCAAAAAUUGGUUAUUUUAAGCAGAAGAAAUUAGUAGUAUUUAUAUUUUUCAAGCUCCUUCAGAGUAGCUUUAUUUUUUAUCUAUGUCUUAAUAAAAACAAAGUAUUUCUAGCUAAUUUUAAUUCAGUCAUCAAUAAAAUGGGAACAUUGUUACUUUAAAGGUAAAAUAAAAAUCCAAAUUACUUGGCAUUAAUUAUACUGUGACAGAAGAAUUCAUAAUUUCCUUAUUGGGUUCUUUGAAAUGUUUCUUACCGUGCAUUACAUUUAUGCAAUAUUAUGAAAUAAUGAAGGCCAGAGAGUUGGCUGGGUCUCCCUGUGUCCAAGUAUUGUCCCCUGAGUCACUUGAGAGCAUCACUCCAGAUGGUUGUUAUGGGCCAAAGCUGCCACACAGCAGGCUACCGGCUUGGCAGUGCAGAUGAUGAGCAGUCUGAUAUUCAAUUUAUUCCAUGGUACCACUCUGUUUAACAGUACAGGUGGAGCAACAGUGACUCAGAGAAGGUUUUUUAAGCGUUCCACUUUGCCAUGUUCAGAAGAAGACUUCUGGGGGGGGUCUUCUGUCCCGCUGAAUUUCUUUCUUUCCUAAGUGCCUCAAAUACAUUAAUUUCAUAAUAUCCAAAUACAUAAGUAAUAAGAGCACUUGCCUAGGAGUCCUUAGUCCCUGCACUCAGCACUGUGCGUUCAAGCUGUAUAAUUGCUGCUUAAUGAAAACAUAAGCAGCCUAGGAGAUUAAAGUAUCCUUAUUCUUUCUGGCCUGGGUGUCUUCCAUUCCCCAGCACAGAUUGUCAAAAUCUCAAGGUGGAUGUAAGAGAUGCUUUGUACACAAGCCUCUGCUGGUGGGAGUACUCUCCUACCAGACAGGAGAGGCUGAUUUAAGUCCUUCAAGCAGUAAAGGCACAGAAUCCAAUCAACCAUUUCCUUUCCAGCUGCUGUUGAAUAACACAUUGUCUUAACCUCUGUUCUGUGGUGUAAGAGUAGGUAACAAAGGUAUGUGUCCCAAAGGAGGGUGAGAUAUCCCUUACUUCUGCCAAAACUUACAUCUAGAAAAGCUCUUAGACAUUCAAAGUAAAUUGUUGCCUGAUGGCUAACCUAAAUUUCACCAAGGAGACAAAAUGAGCAGCAGUAAGUGGCCUCCUCUAACGUGCUUUCUAAGCUGCCAUAUGUAUGUCUUUGGUUAGAAUUCUUAGGAACACAAAGGUUCUUGUGCACUCUGGUUGCUAGGUACUACUUCUGCUGAGCUCUCCAGCUUCAUACACUUACUCAUCUUUAUUGUUGGGUAAGGUGCUACUUAGUGAGAGCAGUGUUAGGUGCUUGGUUGAUGGGGCUAUGCAAAGGACAGAGUUCUAAAAAAUGAAGUCAGUAGGUUUUAUAUCUAAUUAGGCCUCUAAUCCUGCAGACCGUUCGUGGUUUUGCAUUAUGAUAUGCUCAUGUUGUCUUAAAUGGGACUGCUUACUUAAGUGAAGUUCUGGGUGUAAUUGCAUGCAGGUUCACAUCUGAGCAAUCACAUUUUAGCUUCAUACUGCAGCACUGUAAUGAAUCAGAUAGCUCUGAUGUUACCCCUUGGCCUGUCACGGUGAAGGGGUUUCUGAAAUGGUGUAUGUUUCUGUGUAAUGGCUUACACUUCGUUUCCAUGCCCAUCCAAACUAAGUGCUUACAGAGGCACAUCACACAGGGUAUUUUAACUGUUGGGUUAAGAGAGUCAUAAGGCAUAGAUUUUCAAUGCGGUAGGUCAUGAGGCUGCAGUUUCACUGGGUUGUGUGCUGUAUUUGCAUAGGCAGAUAUUCAGACAGUUAAUGGUAGCACAGAAUGCUUUAAUGAUUUUCAUUUGCAUCAAGCUGUUCUCACCUCUUAGUAACAUAAUGGAUAAAUAAAAGAGGCCUUUUGUUUGCUCUCCAUGAAAGUUACCAGUGAUUAAGUGGUGCUGAGGGAACAGGCUGAUGCUCUUAAAACACCAACAACAAAAAAAAAAGAGGAGCAACAACAGAACUGGCCAUCAAAGCUGACUUCAAAGUGACCUACUUCGUUCUGAGUGUGGCAUAAAAGGACUAAUGAACUGCCUGAAUGCAGGGGAAGCUGAGGGAAAUCUCCAUCUGCAGUCAGUCUCCCCCAUUGCAAGAGGGGUGUUGGAGUCAUUAUGUGUCCAAUAAAGAUGGCUGAACUCACUGAUUAAUGCCUGAGUAGCAUAACAAUUCCUUAGAAAUUUGUUGCAGGAAGGAAGGGUUUAAGAUUUCUUCUAAGAAGAGAUCUGUGCAUAUGAGGAUAUUUUUAUUUUACUUUGGGUUAAGAAUAAAAUGAUAUUUGCAGGUAUGCUUGAUUCAGGUGUACAGUAAGAUGCAAACUGCUAUCACACUAUUGGCAACAUAUUUCAGUACAUGUAGAUAAGGAUGUAUUUUACUUGUAUUAACAAUGUAGGUUGUGUGUUUACAGCCUAACAACGGCCUUAAUCAUCUUAAUCUUGUUUUUUUUAAAUGUUUACAACACUUUGAAAUAUAACUUCCUAAGUAUAUAUCACUAAGAAGAUAUUGCAGAAGCAAACACUUUAAGCAGAGGUGAAGCACUGUCACUAAUGCAGACAGAACUACAGCAACUGUCUGUUCCAGCUACAGUGGGAAAACUUUGCUCAAAAAUGUUAAUUGAGUGGUUUUAAUUGAGUGCCAGAAAAUUGCUUCUGUGUGGUCGUCCCUGCUUAGAGAAUCUUCAAACUCAGUGUUUUCCAUUUUUCCUUGUUUCUUUCUUUCUUGGCUAGUAGUUGCUUCCAUCAAUUGGAUUUAUAAACUAUGAAUCUAAAGAAGAUAGCAUGUUGUCUAGAGGAUUUGAUCCAGAUGUAUAUUAUUACCUUUUUGAUAAAUAUCUUUUUAAGUACUUAUGGUGAAGAAGUUUUUUUGUUUUUUGCUUUUUGUUGUUGUUUGGUUGUUUUUCUGUGUGUGUGUGGGGGGGGGGUUAAUGUUUUAAUAUCCCAAGUAUCUUACUAGCAGCCAAAUUAAUGCUGAAUAAAACCCCAGAAAAUUCAGUAGUAUUUCAGCAGGGAUUCAUUCAGCCCUUGGGUUUGGGGUUGUAUCGUAUUGCAAGCUCUUAAAAAUAAGAGUGUUUGGAGAGCUGCAGGCUUCCCAUCUUUUUGUCUGGAAAAGUUAUAAAAUGGAACAGGCAGGCUUUUCACUGAGCUGCUGAGAACGCAGUUCUGGCUGUGCAAUCAGGACUAAAAAAGGAGCAAGAUCUGCACUAAAAAUAGAAAUGGAGGCUGAGCCAACUGCAGUGGGAGUUACAAUCCUUGCACAGCAAAGGGUUGGUAGGUUCAGCUGAGGACACUCGGUUACAGAAAAUCAAAUAAACUUUAUCCCGCUCCUGUAAAGCCAUCAUACCCUGACUGCUCUAACUGGAUUUUUAGCCGUCAGCAGAACUAUUAAUCAUUCCUGCAAAUUAACAUCUUCUUUCAGAUGCAGAAUUUUUUCAGAGAGAAUUGUAUUCAUCUCACAGUAAGAGGGAAAUACGGGCUGGUUUUACAUAACAGUUUGGAGAACGUAGGGGCAAAUUGCACAAAUUUAAUGCACUUUCUCUUGGCUGGAGAAAUGCAUUCAUACUAUUCUUUUGAGCACUAAGUGCCUGCUGAUAUUAUAGACUCCAGGUGGGCAUGCUCUGCUGACUCAGGUAUCUUUCCAGGCCUUGGAACCUUGUCAUGGACUGCAGACAUUCACAGUAGGUGCUUUGAGGGAGGUUAUUCUGCUCAUUUCAAGAACAAAGUACAGAACACCGUAGGUCAUUCCAGCCCUCUACUGCAUCCUCUCCUGUCCUUCUUUAUCCUGUCCUUCAUUGGGAGCACAGUUCAGGAAGUGUUGAAGUGUUUUGGUCAUUUGAGAAAUGGAAAAGUCUAGACAGCAGAGAGAGUAUGUGGAAGAAGACCAAAAAACAGAGAUCAUUAAACUUUCACAGGCCAAGCAAUGUAUAUGUUAAUAAAUUCCUUUCUUAUCUCCCUCCUCACCAGAAUAUCAAUUACACUAUUUCUUAUGUCCAGACUCUUCUCCCAGCAUCCAUAGUUUCAUCUCUUCCACAUUCCAUAUUGAGCACACAGUUUAGCAGAAGCUGAGAGCAGCUGCCCUGCAGAAGCACACGAUCAGCAGAAUGUUGCUGGUGAGGAGGAAGCAGCCUUCAUCUCCAGCUGAGUUCGGAAGCCUGUUGUUACUGCUGUUGUAUUACCAUUACUUACGCUUAUAUUUGAAGAGCUGUAUUUUCUGGGGAAAAAAAAAAAGGAAUGCAUGCAGUCAAGGAGGCAUAGAAAAGGGAUGAUGAUCAGAAAUGGCAGCGAGUGCUGAAAUAUGUCAAUCAUUGUAUUUUGGUUGCAUGCAAAUCUUAGACAGACUGUUUCAUUUACCAACUUUAGCUAAAUCUUUAUAAGACUACAUGGGGCUUUGGCCUCAUUUAACUAUGGGCCAUUCAUUCCCAGUUUCUGUAUACCUUUAGCUGUUACUCUUUGGAACCAAUCAUUUGGUAUAAUAAAAGCAAUGUAGGCCUGUAGUGCAAAUGUAGUAAUAUUAGUGACUUUGUGGAAAUAACUUAAUGAUUAUGCUUAAAAAAAAAAAAAAAAACAUCCCAAUCCAAAGAAUUGUUACUAUUACGUAUGCAAAGAGAAAAAUAAUUUUAGUUACAUGUCUUAAGUAAGUGAAUGUUGUAGAAAGAGAAAAUGGUAUUACUUGAACACACAACUUCAGUUUAGCCAGGGAGUUUUAAAAGUGUUGUUUAAGAUGGGAUGGGUUAUAGGUUAGGAAACCACGGUGAUAGAACUGAAUUGUUAAUAGAUAACCACCAAACUGAAUAUGAACAGGUAUGCAGUUUUACACUGGAUGCUUUUUCAUGAU